rnacentral:rRNA from 1 species
GGCGUGAGGAGAGGAGCCCGCGGCCCAUCAGCUAGUUGGUGAGGUAAUGGCUUACCAAGGCUACGACGGGUAGGGGAUCUGAGAGGAUGUCCCCCACACUGGAACUGAAACACGGUCCAGACGCCUACGGGUGGCAGCAGUGAGGAAUAUUGGACAAUGGGCGAAAGCCCGAUCCAGCAACGCCGCGUGGAGGAUGAAGGCCUUCGGGUCGUAAACUUCUUUAGAGGGAGACGAGAAAGGACGGUAUCCCUAGAAUAAGCGACGGCAAACUACGUG